rnacentral:lncRNA from 1 species
AGUGUCAAUGGGGCAAGUCUCUUGCUUUGGCGGUGGUGGUGGGCAUGGCACUGGAGGUGGUGGAGGAGGAGGGCAUGGCGUUUCAGUUGGUGGUGAUGGUGGUUUUACAGGUGGGGUCACUGGAGGCUUUGGUGGUGCUGGGGUUACAGGUGGACUUGGAUAGUAGGGUGGCGUUGGAGUUACCGGAGGCUUUGGUGGUAAAGUUGGUGGUGUUGGGACCACCGGAGGUUUAGGUGGUAAAGUUGGUGGCGUCGGGACCACCGGAGGCUUUGGUGGCAAAGUUGGUGGUGUUGGGGUCACCGGAGGCUUUGGUGGUAAAGUUGGUGGUGAUGGGGUCACCGGAGGCUUUGGUGGUAAAGUUGGUGGUUUCGGUGGGUAAACGAUAGGCGGUUUUGGAUAAUAUGGUGGCGGUUUUGGUGGUAAAGUUGGUGGUUUCGGUGGGUAAACGAUAGGCGGUUUUGGAUAAUAUGGUGGCUUUACAACAGGAGGUUUGGGUACCAAAGGUGGCGGCUUUACUACAGGAGGUUUUGGCACAUAGGGUGGGUGAACAAUUGGAGGCUUGGGUGUGAUAGGUGGUUUAGGCACAUGUGGCGGUUUGGGCGUGGUUGGUGGUUUCACAAUGGGUGGCUUGGGUACGUGCGGUGGUUUGUGGACAGGAGGCUUGGGUAUAUAGGGUGGUUUGUGAACAGGAGGCUUGGGUGGUUUUGGUGGUUUAUGGUGAGGAGGUGGCUUUACCUUUGGGGGAUGUUUGGGUGGAAAUUUGGGAGGAUAUUUGGGUGGCUUAGGUGGUGGAGUUGGGUAAGGACAGUAAGGGCAAGCAAGAGAAGAAAGCAAAGUACCAAUGUGGAGGAGGAUGAUCAAGAGAUUUCCGAAAGCAUAUUUCGCCAUCUUUACUCUUCUAUCUCAGUACUGAAUGAAGCUCAUAGCCUUAUUAUAUAGUGAGAAAUUAAUAUGAAAAAAUAUAUUUUAAUUAAAAAAUAAAUAAAAACUAUAUAAGAAUUGUAUAAUUUAUUUCAAACAGUAGAUAAAUGAAGAUGUUAACAUCCCUCAUCUGAUUAUAAGCUGAGUUGGCUUCAGCUUUAAAUCUAUGUAAUUAUAGAAUACAACCUGAAGAUAUCUUCUUCUACUCAUAAAUUUGGGAUACAUUUUCUACAAUUAAAGGAAGAGUGUACAUUUAUGUGAAUGUACUUAAAUUUUAGAACGCUAGAUGUGUCAAUAUAAUACAAACUUUUCAAUUAUAAUAUUUAAAAAUUUAAUAAUAAUAAUAAUUUAUUUAAAAUUUUAAUAAUAAUACAAACUUUUAAAUUAAUAAUAGUUAUAAUAUUUAAAAAUUUAAUAAUAAUAAUUUAUUUAAAAUAAAUAAAAGGUUAAAUUGCAUGAUGAAAAUAAAGUAAAAAAAAAUGAAAUGAUCUAAUUGUAAAACACAGAAUCUUAGUAAAUAUUCCCUAAAACUGUGCAUGCGCGGUGUCACGACUCUUCCCAUAAUCGCCUACUCCGUGACAGCAGUGACGCUGUAAACAUCUGGCAUUAAGUUGUGGUCGUCUCACCUCAAAUCUCAGCUUGAGUGUGAUACAACAUAAAGAAGGGAACAGGCAGGAAACUCGCCGAAGAAAUCACGACAUACGUCAAAAUCCUCAAAGAAUCGGACCAUUAAUUACUUCCCAUUAUUAAAUAGGAUAUUGGGACCAGUACUUCAUCUCUGUAGUUCUCUAAACGACAAAAGAGAAUCAAGAAAACGCGGUUUUAGAUUGUACAAUUUUAACUCUUAGUGCCUUGUUGAGCCCGUGAUUGGCUUUUUUGCUAAGGCUGCUAACUGCUGUAGACUGUAGAGGCAUGUGAUCUUUUUUCCUGUUUUUUUUUUUUGGUUCACUUUAUCUAAAUAAUUUCCGAGAGAGAAUCAAGUGGCUUAAUUUCUAAUUUCAACACUAGUAAUUUAAUUUAAUUUUAAUUUUUAUAUUUCAUUCAUAUAAAAAUUUUAAAUUUUAAAAAUAAAAAAUAUAUAUAUUAAUUAGCAUCAAUUUGAAAAACAGAAGAGGACAAUUUAUGCUUGAGAUUUUUCUUUUUGUUCAAUUACACUAAAGAUGCCCAUCUUUCCUAAAAAGUCAAUGGUGUCGGCCACAUCCAUACAAAUGAAAUUAAAAUGUAAGAAAUCUUGUAAAGGCUUUGUAUGAGCUUCUUACAUAACAAUCUUCAACGUAAAUCUCGGUGUAUGUAUGGGCUUCAAAAUCGGGGAUAUUUGGCAAUUAUUUGUUUGAAAAUCCCUACAUUCUAUUCUACUUAUUUUUCCUAUCUUAUUUUAUUCUAAAAUUAAGAAAUUUAAAACUUCUAGUAAUAUUAAAUUGGUUAUAUUUCAUAUUAUUUGAUAAUUAAUAUUUAUGUAAUUACUUAAUUCAUUUUUUAUUAGUUUCAAUUGUAAUAAUAUAAACAUAAUUAUUAUAUAUAUUUUAAAAAAUAUGCUUAAAUAUUAUGCUUUUCCCUCUCAAGUGUUAUAUUUCUUUGAUAUAAUUUAUUUUGUAUUAGCUGAAUAAUAAAUCGAAUCAAAUUGAAUAAAUUAAAAUUUAAAAUUUUAAUAUUUAUAAAAAUUAAAUUAGUAUGAUUCAAGUUUAAUUUAUUAAAUUUUUAAUAUAUUUUUUAUUUUUUAUUUUAUUUUUAAUAUUUUAAAAUUUAAUUAAAAUAUUUUAAUUUUAAUUAUGGUAUAAUCUCUUUAUAUUAUAAAAAAUAAUAUAUUAUUAUCAUUAAUCGAUUCGAUUUGAUUUUUUUAAUUUUUUUAAUUAAAAUCAAAUCGAAUCGAAAUAACUAAAAUUUUUAAAAUUAAAAAUAAACCGAACCGAAUCGAAAUAAAUAAAAAGGAAAAUUAAAUUUCUGAAUUAAUUCAAUUCAAUUGAUUUUUUCUAAUUUUAAACUAAAUGCCGUUCAUUUCUACUAUGUAUUAUUAAUAUUUUAGUGAUAAAAUAAUUAACAAACAUAAAAAAUUAUAAAAAAAAAAGCAUUCAUGUGUUAGAAAUUAUCACACCGACAUUUUUAAUCCAAUAUUUAUUUUGUUAUGAACUAUCAAAGAAGAAAAUUCAAGGUUUAAAUUGUAAAGUGCUAUCUUUGACCCAAGUGAUAUUUCAAUUUUGGCACCAUGCAUACAGAACUUAUUUGUCAUAUUUUGUAAUUUAUUUUAAAUAUAUGAAUCUUGCAACUUCUUUUGGAUUUUUUUAGAAAUUAUUUUUAGAAAAAAUAAUACAAAUAAAAAAAAGAAAAGAUGAGAAAAACAAAAAAAAAAAAAGAUGCAAAAAUGAUGAGAGAGAGAGGAUAGAAAGAUAUGAAAAUAGGAAGAGAAAGCAUAUGAGAAAUAUGUAAAGAAAGAGAAGAUGAUUAUUUAACAUUUAAGGACUUAUUUUCCAAAUAUAAAAGCUUAUUUAUAGAUAAAAGGGAAAAUACAUACUUAAACCUCCAUUUGUUUGUUGAAAAAUAUAUAUAUUUUUUUAUAUUUUUUGAUAUUAGGGAAAUAUAAAAGCUUAUUUAUAGGUAGAUGGAAAAUAAACCUCCAUUUGUUUGUUGAAAAAUAUACUUUUUUUAUAUUUUUUUAUAUUAGAGACAAUAAAAUUGAUAAUAUAAUAUGAAAAUUACUCGGUUGUUUGGAGUGUGUAAUCCACAUUCCACAUCAGUAAAAUACGAAAAUUUUAAAUCAUAUAUAAUAAUUUACACGAAAUUACUAAAUAAUUUAAGUUAACCAUUUUGAAUUAAAUGAAAAGUAGAUCCAAAAAUUAUUUGGAUCAGUUUGGUUCGGACUAUUUCAAUUAGUAAUCAGAGUCCUGGAUCCGAAGAAUUGUGUAGAUCUAGUGGGUCUGAAAAAUUGUUAAUCGUGUGAGACGAGGUGAGAUAGAGCCGCCUAAAAUACUAGCGAACUACAAUACUUAAGGGUUUGAUUCUGCCUUAAUAAUUAUAUCGGAUUCAGUUGCAAUAAGAAUGUUAAAACAGUUUGAUAUAAAAUAUUUUUUAUUAAAAAAAUAAAGUAUUUUUAUGUAGAAUAAUUUCUUAUUUUCAAAUUAUACAAUCAUUUUUUAGAUUUUAUAAAUUUAUUGAUAUUUUUUAUUUUUUUUAAUCUAAAAAAUAAUUUUUAAAUAUAAAAUAAUUUUUAUAAAUAAACAGAGUUUUAAAUAGGUGGUAUUUCACGUUUUUAGAAUUCAAGAACUUUUUUUUUUUUGGACAUUUCAAAAUAUAUACCUUAAUCGCUUACGCUUAAGUGCGGUGGUUCUGAUAUUAAAUAGUUUUCAAGAGUUGUUUUUGCUUGCAAGUAUCUAAUUAAUAUCUUUUAAAGUUGUUAGCUAUUUUGUCACGAAGGUGUUAAUGGGAUAUAACAGUACACUUCCUUAAUUAAGAAAAAAACCAUAUUCUCUAAAUUCUAAAGCACAAGGGCAUUUAGCCUUUCUUGUAAGUAUUAAUAAAUAAGAUUUAACUUCGUUUUAGAUCUAUUAUUUAUAAAAGAAAAAAUUAACUUUAGCAUUUUUUUUAAGUUUUGUUUUUAUCAAUAAUGAUAAGUUAUUUAAUCCAAUUUCAUGAUGACAAUAUAUAACAAGCUAAUUCUAAUACCUGACUUGGGAUUAAAGAAAAUAAUAAAAAUUAUUAUAUAGUUUUUAUUAGUUGAUCUCUUUAUUUUAAAAAACAUAUUAAAACGUUUAUCGCAUUUUAUUUAAUUAUUAAAUAUUACAAAAAAAUUUAAAAUAUUUAUAAUGCAGCGACACUAAUGAGUAAAUUUUUUAAAAAUUUGAGAGAGAUUAAGUAAUUUAUUUUUUAAAAUUAUAAGAAUUAAAUAGUAAAAUAUUUAACUAUUUAAAUUAAUGGAAUAAAUAAUCAAUAAACUUUUUAAAACGUCAGAUAUGUUUUAAUAUAUUUUUUAAAAUUGAUGAAUUAAUUAAUAAAUUUUUUUAUAUCAUAGAAAUUAAAUAAUAAUUUUUCUUAAUAAUAACACCAAUAAAAGAUUUUUUUUUAAAAUUCAUUAUUUUGACUCUCAAGUAAUAAUCUAAAUUCUUUUAUCCUCAUUUUCCACUAAUAAUUCUUACCCUCCAUUUGAAAUUAAGAAUUUUAUGAGAAAUUAAUUUAAUUAAAUUCUUUUCUUAUAAAAUUCUUAUUUGAAAUAAAAAAAAUUUAAAAUUUUUUAAUUUAAAAAAUUUUUAAAAUUUUUAAAAUGUUGGAAAUAAAAUCAUAAAUAAUUUUAUAAGAAUUCAUUUAAUUUUUCUUUUUUUAUAAAAUUAUUCAUACCAAACAAGUGAUUAAAGCUUUUGAAGUGGCAAGAACAAGUGAAAAGUUCAAACUUAAUUGCAACCUUCUCAAAGUCAUAUAACCAAAUGCAAUGCAAGCAUGACAUAUGGGCAAAGUUAUAUACCUCUUGGGGUUAACCGACAACAAUAGACAUAGAUACUGGACAUGUCAAGUAUGGUAAAGGUGGAUUAAUUUUUGGAAAUUUAUGUGAAAGUUUUUAAAUUAUUGUCGUUUUCCAUCUUGUACAUUUUUCUAAUGAAAACACUAUUGGUUUCUAGCGCAACCAUUGCAAAUUCUUUCGUUUGUAGCGCGACCAUUGCAAAUUCUUUGGUUUGUUUGAUCUUAGACCAUUUCCAAUACUGCAUCAAAUCUUAUUUUAGCAUACGCAACACUAAAAUUUAGUGCAAUUUUAGUAUUUUACUAUAAUCUCAAGCUAAAUGUAGGAGCGCCAUUUAUUUUUUAUUAAAUUUUUUUGUUAAUUUAUAAUAUAAUCUAAAAUUUUAUCGUCGUUUCAUAAAAAUUAUUUUUUAUUAUUUGAGUAUUUAAAAUUUUUUAGUUAGAUUCUUAUUUUUUUCACUAUCAUAAUAUAUUAUAUUUUUAAUAUAUUUUAUAUUUUUAUAAUUAUAAAAAAAUAAUAUGAAUUAAUAUAUUCUAAUUAUAAAUAGUAUUUAUGAUAAAUUAAUUUAUAUAAUAUAUUAUAUAAAAUAAGUGAGAUGAUGACACGUAUAUUAUAAUUGAAUAAUAUAUAUUAAUUAAAAAUAUAAUAAGUAAUAAUUCAGUUUAAUUAACAUAUAUUUAUAAUUAAUGUAUUUUUAUAAUUAAUAUUUAAUUAAUAUAUUUUUAUAAUAAAUUUAUUUUUAUUUAUCUCUAAUAAAUUGAAUAUUUGAAUAUUGGAUGAAAAUGUAAAAUAUAUAAAUAUAUGGAGUGGAUAUAUAAAAUGAUAUGAAAUUUUUUAAUGAAAAGGAUAAAUAAGGUUAAAGUAAAAUAAAUAAUAUAAUAUUAAAGAGAAAGAAGAAUAUAAAUAAAAUAUUUCUUUUUUAAAAAAUAUUAUAAAAAAUUAAAGAUAUUACAAAAUGUUAAAGAUGAUAUUGCGACAUUUUAAUAUUUUACGUUAAAAUAGUAAAAAAAUAGUGUAUACUGUUGAAAAUUAAUACAGUUUAGCGUUCAAAGAAUUGCUUAUCAAUUUUUCAUUGUAGAAGAGGACGACUGGAAAUAUUGAGGAGCUAAGAUGUUGAGCAACCGGCUACUUUUGUGAUAACACUUACGUUGAAACUUAAGUUUUUUAAUGUCAAAUGCUUCUAAUAUAAUUGUUGUCAUUGUAAGUAGAGUUUGUGCUCUCUUAUUAUCAAACCUAAUAGAGAAUCGGGUACUCACGAAAAUACCCGAAUCUGAAAUUAAAUUUGUUUAAUAUAUUCGAGACCUGAGUUUGUUCCAAAUUCAAUUAAAAUUUGAUGUAAUUACCUUAACUCAUUUUAAAUCCCGUUAUUAUUAGUCAACAAAUAUUUAAACUCAUUUGUAUAAACUUUAAUAAUAAUUCACAUAAAAUGUAAUUUAAAAGAUUAAUUUAUAUUUUACAAUUUUAAUAAUUAAUUAAAAAUUUUAAAUUAUAUUCAUUUAAUAUAUAUAUGAAAAAUUAUAAAUAUUAUUAUAAAAACAUAUUGAUAUUACAUGUGAGUUGUCCAAAGCGAGCCAUGAGCUGUUAUCAUAAAAUAAAGUCAUGUGGUAAGAAUCUGAUGAAACUGGUACCCGAUUUCGUCCGGAAAUAGGAAGACCCGGAUAUUGUUAAUCUGGUUCUUUACCAAGACUCGCCCUCUCUUGAAGGGGUUAAGCCUCAGCAUAAUGUUAUUAUCAACAAGUACAUGCCAGCGUAUUCCCAUUAUGUUUAUAAUCACGGAUCACCGACUGUCCCAUUAUGCCUAUAAUCACGAGAUCACCGACCCACCGACCGGUUGGUUGGUGAUAUCCCUUAUUAAACAGUUAGUCACAUCAUCGCGAGAUUUCCAAAAAAUAUCAUAUUAACUUCAUCUUCUUAUAUUAUAAAAACUAACAAUCACAGAGAUAAAGGUACGUAAUUUUCUUACACAACUACUCUCAAGUUCUCCGUUUGCUCUAUUUUCCAAUUUAUGACUUGAGCAUUGGAGUGGCUACCGUGAGCACCCACCACCGCACGUUCUCUUUCUUGCAAGAUUGACCAUUCGCAGCACAGUUUCAUUCUAGCUACAUCAUUUGGUUUCAUUGUCAAGAUUCCAUUGAAUUCUUUUUGUUCCUUUGCAUUAAAGCCUAUCUCUUACUCCUUUUCUCUUAGAAAGAAAUCUCUCUCUUCUUUCUCUAGAAAUGGCCGGUAGUUCACGAGCUACUGCUCAGGUUGCUACCAAUGAGGGCAUUAUCAUUUCUUUUGCUCUUGGCAGUGGAUAAAACAUGCCCCAAAUGGUCAAUAAAGCAUAUCUAAAAAAUCUAAGUAACAAGCAAAUGAUUCAAUACAUCUAAAAGUUGCAAGCUACUCUUAAGCAAUACAAGGCUCGGGGGGAGAUGUUAGUCACAAUUUCUAGAGGAAAGGGGGGAGCCUUCGUUGACACCCCUAGGACCCAGACAGAGGUGAUUAAGAAGCAUUCCAAAAGGAAGGACGUGUUCAAAGAAGAUGAAUCAGAUGGUGCUCUGAGAGUUAUCGACUAAAAGCUAAUGUGGGUUAUUCAAAGGUACUAGAAGGAGUAGGAGGAGGAUUUUGGCUUAGAUGGUGCCUCACCUCUUUCGGAAGAAAUCUUAGCAGAAACAUUACCAACCAAGUUUAAGCUGCCUAGCCUAGACAAAUUGACACAACAGUAGAUCCCAAGAGUCACUUGGCGAUCUUUAAGAUGACCGUGCAAUUUUAGGAUGUCAAUGACUUCAUGUUGUACCGAGUGCUUCUGUCAACAUUCACAAGUUGACUCAUAAAUGGUACCAACUUUUGAAGCCAAGUUUGAUUUAGAACUUUAUACAGUUUGUAACAUUAGUGAAAUCCUGAUUUAUUACUUGUAUACCUCCUAAAAAACUCUCAUCUGACUUGCAGAAGAUCCGCCAAGGAGAAGGUGAGUCUCUAAGGAGUUUUAUCUCAUGGUUCAAUGCCGAGGAAAUACAGGUGGAGGAGUUAAAUCACGAAAUAGUGUAUAAAGCAUUAAAGAAAGGAACACGCAAUGUCAAGUUCAUGGAUUCCUUAAUAAAAAAUCCACCUGCAACAUAAUAAUAGUUGAUAGACAAGGACCAAAAAUAUAUCAAGCUGGAUGAUGAAGUCCAAGCACUAAGAGAGAACAAGAGGGCGAACUAAAAGUAAAACCAAAAACUAGAAAGGCAAAGACAUGAGGGAGACCACAAGAGUUACCCCGUCUCCCGAAGAAGGGAUGACCAAAGUAAGUAUAAGAAUUAUACUCUAUUAAAUGACUCAUGGACACAUUUUAAUAUGGAUUAGGAAAAAUGAUAAACAGGUCAGGUGGCCCCCAAACUCAAUUCCAAGAAAGCAGAAAAGCGAGAUAGGACCAAGUAAUAUUGUUUUCACGAAGAUCACAGUCAUACAACGGAAAAGUGUAGGCAACUGAAAGACGAGAUCAAGAAACUGAUAAAGGAUAGCACUCUUCGAAAGUUUGCCAAAAAGGAUAGGGAAGAAAGGAGACCUAAACCUGAGGCCACAACUCUUGAAACUAUCCCUGACCGAAAGCCUGUAUGGAUUAUUCAUGUAAUUGCAGAAGGACCUAGUGAUAAUCAGGGAAAAUAAGCAAAUCACAUAUAUAACAGCUAGCCUGGUACGCUUGGCAAAUACUGAAAAGGACUGCUUAAGGUCUCAAAGUUUAUUCGCCUAAGGUCUUGGUCUUAUAGUCUAGCCAAAUUAGAUGGCCAAAUCAUGGAAUAUAUGUAACAUUGAGGAAAUUUUAUUAAUAACAGUAAACGAGAUUGUAACGACCCGGAAACCGGUACCCCUCUGUAUCGGUCUGAACCGCUACCGGCGCUAGGAUUCAAAUUGGCUUAAAGCCACCGGGACCCGUAGCAAGCCAAACAUACCUCCUAUCACCUGGUCAAAUCCCAUACAUGAUCAAAACUUUAAUAUAAAACUUAAACAUAUGAUAUAAAUACCGAGCUUGACCUGUAUGCAACAUAACUGGAAACAUAAAAGAACCCCCUACUAGAGUCCUCAUCAAAACUCUAGCUGGGUCAACACAACAUACAUCAAGCCGGAGUCACAUCCAAAGAACUAGAACCUAACCUGUGCAUGCAUCAAACCACAAACAUAAGACCUCCACUAGGGUCCUCAUCAAGCACUAGCGUGGUAAACAACACAUGCCACCAGUUUAGUUCAAACACAACUCAACAUCUAAAACAUUACAUAUAUCAUGUAUUAAAAAGGGACUAGCCAAGUCUUAGGGCCAAGCACAGUACUAAUCCAUAGACAUAACUCUGCUUAACUUGCAUUACAUUCUCUUACAAUUCAUUAUCUCAGAUUACAUUACAUGUCCACACUAAAGCACUAAUCUAAUACUAUUACAUAAGCAUAACUUUUACCCUUGACGUCUUCCUGGCCUACCUCUGACCUGCAAAACUGGGGUUAGGGAAGAGGGGUGAGCUAAAAAGCCCAGUGAGUAGAAACAAAUAAAACAGUUCAUUAAUUACAUGCUUUCAUGAAAUGCGUCAUAUCACAAACAUUUCACAUCAAGGAUGGACAUGACCACCAAAAAUUCCUCCAGUGUCAGUAUGCCUGGCCCGACCAGGUCUUACAACCUCCGUAUGCCUGGCCCGGCCAGGUCUUACAACCUCCGUAUGCCUGGCCCGGCCAGGUCUUACAACAUCUGGAUGCCUGGCCCGGCCAGGUCUUACAUCAUCUGUAUGCUCGGCCCGGCCAGGUCUUACAACAGCUCUAGGACUAUUGGGGUCGCCUUGGUCCCUCCAUAUCAUCAUAUACAUCAUAUUAUGCAAUGCGUCAUAUUCGUGAAACUAGUGCAUUCAACCUAUUACAUAUAACAUGAUGCAUGAACAUGAUUUAGGCAUUUGAUUUCAUAAAAUAAAAGAUUAAGUUUAGUUCUACUCACCUCUAGCAGACGCUGAACUAACUCUGCAACUGCUAACACUGAUGGCCUCCUCGGUCCCUCGGGUCCGAUCCUACACAGGUGGACUCGAAUGAGGUGCCAAACACACUCUACACAACUCAUAAACAACUCCCCAAAAACCCCCCCUAAGCAUCACUUAAACAUGCAUAGAAAACAACCAUGAAAAGGCUGGACAGGGCACUUUCGGCGGCACCUUCGGCGGCCGAAAGUCCCUCUCCAGAGACAAAAGUCAGGCACUUUCGGCGGCCGAACCUUCCUUCGGCGGCCGAAAGUCUGCUUUCAAGCCAAAACUCAACUUUCAGGGGCAAGGUUAGGCGGCCAAUCCAUGCAUCCAACGGCGGCCGAAACCACCUUCGGCGGCCGAAACCACCUUCGGCGGUCGAACCUGAGUUCUUCCAGAACUCAGCCCUUGUGCAUACAAGCCUGCCAACCCCCCAAAACAAGCACCCAACCUUACUAAAACAUGCAUAAACCCUUAACCAUGCACAAAGGAGCUUAAACAAGCUUAAACUCCAACAAAGAACAUCAUAAAGCACACAUAAAGAGCUUAUGACCCACAUAAGCCAAAACCAUCAAAACAACCCAACUCCUCAUAUACUCUCUCCCCAUCAUGCAUACUCACUCCCACAUGCAUAGACUAGCUUAAACUUCCAACAUACCAUCACAUAAACAUAUAUAAACAUACAUUUGCAUAAAAACCCACAUAAACCCUAACAUGCAUAUCUACCCAUACUUAACCAUUAAAACCUCUUAAAACUUACUUAAAACUUCAUGAAACAUAAAGGAAAGCAUAGAUCCACACUUACCUCUUGAAGAUCGAGGGUUUGUGCGAGCUCUAACUUGGAGAUGGGAGGAACUAACUCCUUGGGUCUCCAAGUUCCCAAAACUUGAUCUAAGCUUGAAAACUCUUCAAAACAGCCAUAAAACUCAUGAAAACAUGAAGGAGAUGAAAAAAAACAUGAAAAUGACCAAAGGAGGACAAAAACUCACCUGAGCUCGAGAAUGGGGAGAAAACUCGCCCAUUUCCAAUCUGAGGGCUCUUUAUAGGUGGCCUGGUCGAAGACCUUCGGCAGCAUAACGUGCCCCCUAAACUUAUGCAUGUUCGGCGGCCGAACUUGAGGUUCGGCGGCUGAACCUUGGCUCGUUCAAAUAAGACUUUCGGAGGCCAAAAGCGCUCCCAAAACCUUUCCAUGUUCGGCGGCCAAACCUGGCAAAUGCCUCCUUGGUCUUUUCUUUUCAAAACUCAAUUCUUUUUCAUUUAAAAUCGUAAAAUCAGUAAAAACAUUUUAGAAAACACAUUUUACCCUUCUAGAAGCCUCUGGCAUCUUCAGAAAUUCCAGAUUCCAACGGAUAUUCCGCCGGAAGGUAGGGAUUCCGAUGCCGGAAUCUAGCCGGGUAUUACAUUCUUCCCCCCUUUAAGAACAUUCGUCCCCGAAUGUUCAACAAACAAACAGGCAUAGCAUAAAACAUAACAUCAAGCAUACAUAAACGAGCAAGCAAGCAAAACUUAAAACCUCUCUCCAAAGAGAGACACAGGUACUGCUGGAGUAUAAACUCCCGGGUCUUCCAAACCCACCUUUCCAUACUGUGGUGAUUCCAAAGGACUUACACCAUCAGGAUUCCUUGUUCCUCAACUUCCUGACUUAUGUGUCCAUGAUCCGCAUUAACUGCUCAACAUAGGUGAGAUCCCUUGAGAUCUCCACCUCUGGUUCUUUAAAAACCCUACUAGGACCUGACACGAACUUCCAUAACAUGGAACAUGGAAAUCAGAAUGGAUUUUCUCCAUAGAAAAUCACCCUUACCAAAAGAAACACCUUAGCAGUACCCAACCUACUCCUGAACUCCACUGGCUUCCGCUGCGCUUCUCUGAUCCUUACUCUUUUCUCUUCAUCUUUACUAACUGGCUUCUUCUCUAACUCACAACAGGUAAGGAAUACCUGCUCUUGGUAGCGACCUUGUCCGACUGCCUCAAGUCGCCACAGGGUCUCGAGGACUCAUCCUGCUUUUCCCACAACAACACUGGAGCAAUCCAGAGUGAGGUACUAUGUAAUACCCGGCUAGACCCAGGUGUCAGACUUCCUACGUUCCGGCGGAUUUUUCCGUUGGAAUCCGGAAUUUGAGGAUGUCGGAGCCUGCCCUAAGGGUAUUACUAUGUUUUUAUCAUGUUUGCAUGUUUUUAAGUUAAGAAAAUUGAGUUUUGAAAUGAAAAGACCAAGGGGACAAAAGCCAGGUUCGGCCGCCGAAGGUGAAGUUCGGCCGCCGAAAGUUGCAUGGUACACAGAGUUUACAGUAGGGGAUUUAUCAGGUACACAGAGUUUACAGUAGGCUUACUACGGGUCCCGGCGGCCUUAAGCCGAUCUGAAUCCUAGUGCCGGUGGCGGUCCGGUAAGCGGGCUGUUACAUACUAGGUCGGAUAAAACCCCUUGUCUACCAAGUCUCACAACUGCUCUAACAACUCCUACAACUCUAUAGGUGCCAUCCUGUAGGGGAGAAUAAAAAUGGUUCUGGGUCUAGACACCACUCCUAUGCUCGACUCCAUUUCCCUAAUAGAUGGUGAACCUAACCACUUGCCUGGGAAGAUAUCUAAGAACUCUCUCUCUAACAACUGGCACUGAGGCUGGUUCCCCGACUCGACUGCUAAACUCUCAAACAAAAGCUAGAACCCUCUGACAACCCCUCCUACUCACCCUACGAACCUGACAGGCUGACAUCAAACCUCUAGGCAUCCCUACUGUGUCCCCUCAGAAGACUACCUUUGACCCAUCCUGUCCUCUGAACCUGACUACCUUGUCUCUACAGGCCAAGAUAGCACCACGAGCAGAAAAACCCAGUCCAACCCUAAACUGACGUCCAGACAAUCAAGUCUACAACCUCAAAGUUGGGUGGAAGGCAUCUACCCUCAACAGUUACAGAACUGAACCGGCAAACUGACUCUGCCACAGAUGGAUCACACUCGGGUCUACUGACCCAAAGAGAACACUCUAGCCCAUAAGCUAUCAACUCAACCUCUCGACGGCUCCUAGAGCAACUAAAGAAAGAGAACUUUCAGGGUUCACAAAAACAUACACAUCAGAACAAUUGAAAGUGAGCGUACCUGACACCACCAUGUUCGAUGUGUCUGCCUCUUGCUGAGCUUGGGUGAAGAUCCGAGCUGGAGCUGACGGACCUUCUCCACGGGAACCUAAGGAAUGAGGGACUGACCCUCUUCCUCUGCCUCGACUACUAACCUGAACCAUGGCUGGAGCUGCUGGCUGAGCCGCUCUACCUGGAGCUGUCCACUGGGAUUGAGCCAUCCAGGGCGCAGUGGGA